rnacentral:lncRNA from 1 species
AGAGUGCUCUACUUUCAAAAGAAAUCCAAGCAAUUGCUAAGGAAUUGAUGAUCCUAAUUCAGGGAGCAAGGUGCAGAUAUGGUCUGUCACAAAGAUGAGAGCAGCUACUUUUAUGACACCUUUUAAAAAUUAUUUCUUAAAGUUCUGUUAAACUGCUAAAUAAAAACACUUCUAUAUUUUCUGGUUUCUCUUCCCUUUCCCAGCAUUAAGCCUUCACUUUUUAGCCAAAAAAAAAAAAAAAAAAAAGUGUAGUUUGUUAAUGCCGUGCAAUUAAGUUCACCUUGUGUAGGAAGACUUACCUCAAAGCUUGAACUGGUGAUUGAGCACCUGGUGAAAGGCUGUGGCUGCCCAGGGAGCACCUGUGCUCCCCACCUGGCCAGAAGGGGUGGAACCAGGGGGAGCCAGCCUGGGCUCAAACAAGGGCUGGCUAGUGAAUGGAGAGCAUCUAGGCUGCUUUCUGAGAAGGAGUGCUGUGUAGCCAGAGAUCCCCUUUACCAGUUUGCCCAUAGCCUGUCAGAUGGGUAUGCACCAGCCCUGGAGCCAAACAAGACUUCUUGCAACUGCAGCUUUUGAUUGUAACUGGCCCACAAGGAAUAUGACAGCUCUUGGACCGUCCCAGCACUUGUAAGGUGAUAUGUGACUUUAAAGAAGAUGGCACAAAGGAAUUCAAGGGAGUUAUGAACGAUGCAGAUGUUUUGUCAAAGAGAAAAACAUUAGCAAGAACUUUCUGCAUCAAGAAAGAGGACUAUCUUUGCCAGUAUCCCCUAUAGGGGAUGGUUAGACAAGAGCUGAGUGAAAAAAUGCAAUGAUCCUCCUCUAGACAACUCUCCAAUUCUCUAACGGUUUGUGACCCAAUGACUUCUGUAGAAAUAAAAACUGUUUCGAUCCCCUGUCUCA